GUUCAGAGGGACUAGGGCUUGUCCCCAGAGGCUGAGUGGGGAGAAGGUUUAGAAAUGUAUUUCUCAACUGGCCAGCCAGUGAGUAAAAGGCUAAGGAAUGCCUUUUAGCAGCCUCAAGAGAACCUCAGCCCAGUGAAAUCAGUGGUACAAGGACCAAAGGGGACUGAGGGCAAGAAAGGGAGACACACACACACACACACACACACACACACACACACACACACACAGAGGAGACUGGAUUCUGUCAGCAAAACAGGCAGAAGGAGUGGACUUCUCCAUUUGCCAGUUCCUCGGGUGUUUGGAAUACUCUAGGAGGGGUAGUUGGAAGGAGCUCAGCAAUGUUUUGGGUCCAGAUGAUCUAUGCAAUUAGCUGUGAUAGGGUUCCUUACCUCUGGGGGUCCCUAGGGACAUCCCCAGCUUAGGAGGGGUGUGGGAGGUAUAUGGAAUGCAACAGGUGGGCUGAGUGUAGGUUUGGCCCCCAGGUGGUCUGGUUGGACUUCAAUAGCUCUCUGAGCAAUGGAGCAGAACCCCUCAACUUCUGGAGGUACCUCUCUACCCAGGGGAUCCUCACAGCCUCUUCCCAAUUUAAGGUUGAUGUAUACACUCCCUCCUACCCCUUUUCCUAUACCUUGCUGGCCCUCCCAUUUGAAUGUUCAAGAGACUGUUUUGGAAAAACCCCUAAAGGGACACAGACUGUUUAUUUUUGCAUUUCUGCUCCCCCAAUCUUAAGGCUCCCUUUAAAGCUGGGGGUGGGUGAGUAGGGGCUUUAAGUGACAAAGACAAGGCAGGGGGUGGAGGAGGGGUGAGAAGAGGAACUCCCCACUGUGGGUAAUCAUCCCAGAGAUUCAUCCUGCAUUUUGGGCUCAGUUUCAUUUGCUGGUUCCUUUUUUCCUCCCAUCUUCUUUACCUUUAUCUUCUCUGUGCCCUUUCAUUUCUCCACUCAGUAAACCUUACUAGCCAUUUCCUGUGGCAGGGCUGAAACUGAGAAAACUCACUUUGGAUGAAGACUGAGACCAGUUUUUCUGUCAAGGAGGUCACAUUCGAAAUUUAACUGGGCAUCCUGCAUUUUCAUUUGCUGAAUCUGACAACCCUAGUUUCCUCAUGAACAUAUAGGAGUUAGCUGAAUAAAUAGAGGGACAGGAGAGAAGAGCACUCCUGCAGAGGGAACAGCAUGAGCAAAGACUUGGAGAUCACUCGUGCUGGGGAUACCCCAAGCUGCCAUGUUGUCAGGAGAGGCUCAGGUGAGGAGAAACUAGUGCUUCCUGCUAAAAAGUACCUGAGUGAUCUUGGAAGUGGACUCGCCAGCCCUGGCCAAGCCUCCAGCUGACUGCAGCUCCAGCUGACAUCUAGAUUGUAAGAGGGCUAUCUACCUAAUCUGCUUCCAAAUUCUUGACCCAUAGAAACUCUGAGAUAAGAAAUGCGUAUGGUUUGGGGCGCCUGGGUGGCUCAGUCAGCUGAGUGUCCAACUCUUGAUUUCAGCUCAGGUCAUGAUCUCACAAUUCGUGGGUUUGAGGUCUGUGUCGGGCUCUAUGCUGGUGGUGCAGAGCC